CCGUUGAAUGGCCAGUGUCGAUUUUCUAUUAAUUAUUUCUCGGUGCUUUUGUUCAAAGGAGCAAUUAUGAACUCACUUUGAAUAGGAAAUUUUCUAUAAAACCUGGCGUGCAAGGAUGUAAGACGCCCUAAAAUCAGUCACCGAGUGAGAGGCACAAGAGCUACAGUACUGUACAAUUAAGACCUCGAAUUUUCUCGUCAUUAAAGAUGAAAUCCGAAACAAUUCUUUUGGUGAUGGCGUUUUUAGUGGCGGCUGCUACCUUAUCAUCAGCGGAUGAUUGUUUAGACUGCACCACUACUUUCACCAUGUGUUUUGAUGCGUGCCAAAAUCCGACCAUUUGCUCUCAGUGCAUCGAUGCGAAAGACGACUGUCAGAGUACAUAUUGCGGUAAAAAAAGAAGCUUUCGACCAAGACUUCGUUCCUUCAAUGACUUUAUGAAACAAAAGCGAGUUUAAGAGAUACCAAAAUUAAGAAGAGUACCUUCAAAAGAAUCGCCCAUAUAGUACUGAAAUCAUUGUAUUAGAAUACUUGGAGUAGUAAGAGUAUCUACUAUUGUAACCCUACUCCAUUCAUUUAGAAAGUUGUAAAAAAAAAAACUAUCCACUCUCUCACAA